rnacentral:lncRNA from 1 species
GAGAAAACAGACUCAAGGCAGUGAGGCGAGGGGACCUGGUUUGAACCUCGGCAGUGAUGGAGGCGGCAGCAGCAGCGGCAGAAGGGACACUGAGACCAAAGGGUGGGGGACAUGAGGUCUCUCAAGAUGAAGAGUAAAUGUAUGGAAACAUCAGGAUUCCAAGGCAGCCCAUCGAUCGACUUCUGGGUUAGGUUUCCUGGAACCAGAUGACAGAGUCUUCCUGGGAAAGACGAAUGAGUGCAGGGGCAAGGAGAGUGCACACACCCACACAGUGCCCCCGGGGACCCCAGCCUCACUAUGGCCUCUGCUCUGUGCAUGGUGUGGGAAGGAGGGAGGCCCUUCCAUUCACCAAUGUUCAAGCUCCACGAGCAGCCAAUCAGGGCUCUGAAGGAGGAAGAAAGUUUGGUUCCCCUGGCAACACAUACAAAAGCCGCUCUCCUCAGCAGCAAGCAGCUGGAAGAAGGAUGUGGACUGGAUUCCACCCAACCAGAUCUCCUCAGAAGAUGAGCGCAUUUCAUUCUAACUCCUGAACUCUGGUUCAUCCAGGUCCAUCCCCAAGGGCAGGGGACCAAUGAGCCAAAGAGGCUCCCGACAGUGGUGACUCCUCUUCCCUGACAACUAGGUUGGGGCUUAGGGUGGGCCUGGGGCUGGGGCUGUCCUUCCAUCAGUUCAUCACCUAGGCCUUCUUCUCCGAGGCAGCUUCAGUGCCGAUGCCCACCUGGAUCUGAGCAAGCAUCCUCCCCUUUCUCUUAAGCUCCCACUGCCGUCCCCACCCCGACUGUCCUUGAGGAGCAUCUGUGACCUACGGUUGCUAGCCCACACUCACCAUAAAGCAAAAGGAAAG